rnacentral:rRNA from 1 species
AAUGAACGCUGGCGGCGUGCUUAACACAUGCAAGUCGAACGAGAAAGUUCUUCGGAACGAGUAGAGUGGCGAACUGGUGCGUAACGCGUAAGGAUUUGCCCUUUAGUGAAGAAUACCCUCGAGAAAUCGAGGCUAAUACUGCAUACGUCCCUUCGGGGAGAAAGGUGGCCUCUUGCUACCGCUAAAGGAUAAACUUGCGUACUAUUAGCUUGUUGGUGAGGUAAAGGCUCACCAAGGCGAUGAUGGUUAGCCGGCCUGAGAGGGUGACCGGCCACAUUGGGACUGAGAUACGGCCCAGACUCCUACGGGAGGCAGCAGUGGGGAAUCUUGCACAAUGGACGAAAGUCUGAUGCAGCGACGCCGCGUGGAGGAUGACGGCCUUCGGGUUGUAAACUCCUGUUAAGAGGGAAGAAAGAUUUGUGGGUAAUAUCCACGAAAGAUGACGGUACCUCUAGAGAAAGCUCCGGCUAACUUCGUG